CCUGCUUCCCGCGAGAACAUCUGCUGAGAGGAACAGCUGUCUCCACCCUGUGCUGAGCGGCUCCCGUGGGAACGUGGUGUGCAGUUGGCAGAGGCACGACGCAGCUCCUCGGCCCCUCGCCGCCAUUUUCUGGGCGUGGGGGGGGCAGUGCUCAGAGUUCUGGGGCCUUUGUCACAUCUGUCAGCGGCCGUUUCUCUGGGGCCACACUGUGCCCUCUUCCCAUUCUUUCCUUCUUUAAUUUCUGGGAGGUCUGGAGGGGAUAGGGCCAGGUUGGUUGGGAGCACUGCGGUCAUAAGGUCUGGGGAGCCGGAGGGCUCUGGUGUCUGGAAACCAGGCCUCUCAGGUGGCCGCGGGAAUUAGGUGGUCGGAGGCCCGAGCUGGCUGCGUGGGGCUCGGUGGUGCCAGGGGUGACAUACCCGAGCAAAGGUUUUCAGAUCCUCCAAAAUUUGCCUGUAGACGGAAUCUAAAGUAUAUGGAAUAUCUUGUGAUCAACUUUUUCAUGCACUGUCAUUUUGUAUGGCUUUUCCCAUGGAACUGCACAGUCUGCAAUAUAAUCCUUCACGGUCAGGAUUGGGCUGUUUACUGUGUAUAUACAAAUUACGCAGACAUGCGGACAUGGUUCAGAUCUCAUCAGGCCCAGGCUGCUGAAUUUGUCAAUGGCAGAGACCCAAGUAAAGCUCUGAGGGACUUUAUCACUUGCAUAACUGGGAAGUCUACAGAGGGGGAUGCUAUUAGCUGAUCACAACCAGGUUGUUUCCACUGUUGACUAUUAUAAAUGUAUCGACAUGACUACAGAUGAGCUUAGAUCUUGCAGUAUAUCACAAUUAUCUUAAUGGGUCUGGAGGAUGAGACCCCAUCCAGAAGCAGCCUGGAUCAGGAACUCGUAGGGCGAAGGCAUCAACCUCAGAUCUGUCAGGACCUGGGCUUCUCCCUGAGCACAUGGGGCUCAGCCCCUUACCGAUUCUGCCUUUGGAGCCCAAGAUCAAGGAGACAGCAAUAAACAGUCUUAUGGGGCAGCCUGGGUGGCUCAGUGGUUUAGCGCCACCUUCAGCCCAGGGCCUGAUCCUGGAGACCCGAGAUUGAGUCCCAUGUCAGGCUCCCUGCAUGGAGCCUGCUUCUCCCUCUG